rnacentral:lncRNA from 1 species
GGCCCAUAUAUUGAGUGAUUACAAUAUUUAUUGGAUAUAAAAUAAUCCCAGCCGAAGUUCGUAAAAGGCCGAUCCUUCCAAGACUCUUCCGGCUUCCAACUUUGUGUAGCGUCUUUCCGAACUCUCCCGACCGUCCGAGCUUCCAUAAUACCAUCCGGACUUCUCCAAUCAUGAGCUUCUCCAUUCAUCUACCGGACUGCUCCAAACGCUCUCUGAACUUCACUUUCAGCCGAUUCUCUACAGUGGUCGACUAUUCUCCGAAUCUCUUUCAGACUUCUCCC